UACGUAGGGUGCAAGCGUUAAUCGGAAUUACUGGGCGUAAAGCGUGCGCAGGCGGUUAUGCAAGACAGAUGUGAAAUCCCCGGGCUCAACCUGGGAACUGCAUUUGUGACUGCAUGGCUAGAGUGCGGCAGAGGGGGAUGGAAUUCCGCGUGUAGCAGUGAAAUGCGUAGAGAUGUGGAGGAACACCGAUGGCGAAGGCAGCCUCCUGGGCCAGCACUGACGCUCAUGCACGAAAGCGUGGGGAGCAAACAGG
rnacentral:rRNA from 1 species